rnacentral:rRNA from 1 species
GAUGAACGCUAGCUACAGGCUUAACACAUGCAAGUCGAGGGGUUCCAAAGGAGCUUGCUUCUUUGGAACGACCGGCGCACGGGUGAGUAACGCGUAUCCAACCUGCCCUUCAUAUUGGUAUAGCCUCCCGAAAGGGAGAUUAAUCCCGAAUAACAUAUUUUGGUUUCCUGAUUAGAAUAUGAAAGCUCCGGCGAUGAAGGAUGGGGAUGCGUUCCAUUAGGUAGUAGGCGGGGUAACGGCCCACCUAGCCGACGAUGGAUAGGGGUUCUGAGAGGAAGGUCCCCCACACUGGAACUGAGACACGGUCCAGACUCCUACGGGAGGCAGCAGUGGGGAAUAUUGCACAAUGGGGGAAACCCUGAUGCAGCGACGCCGCGUGAGUGAAGAAGUAUUCGGUAUGUAAAGCUCUAUCAGCAGGGAAGAAAAUAGACGGUACCUGACUAAGAAGCUCCGGCUAAAUACGUG